UGAGGAAUAUUGGUCAAUGGGCGGGGAGCCUGAACCAGCCAAGCCGCGUGAAGGAAGAAGGCGCCAGGCGUCGUAAACUUCUUUUGUCGGGGAACAAAGGGCGCCACGCGUGGCGUUGUGAGUGUACCCGAAGAAAAAGCAUCGGCUAACUCCGUGCC
rnacentral:rRNA from 1 species